UUUUUUUUGUGCUCUGCUAGGGUUUAGCCCUAGUUUCGGCCAUCGUUCGCAACGCAGGCCAUUCAAAAAUCUCACAUCCUCGUCCUACUCCGAUUGCGACGAAGAAAACGAAGGACCGACCACCAGGUAACCUCUGCACACUCCACUAUCUUUAUUUUUUUUAAUAUCGUCCACGAAUGAUGAACCAAAGAGUAAAGAAAUGGAAUCAGAGAAGGGAAAGCAAAAGAAAACUCAGAAAAGCAAAGCAAAAUUCCUAUUCACCUUUAGAUUUUUUUUCUGAAUAUUUUUCUAUUUCUUGUAUUCAAUCUUCUUGCCUCUGUAAAAAGAUCCGUUUACAGUGUUUGUAUUGGCUCUUUAUAGCCAAAAUAAAAAAAAUAAGAUAAAAUAAAAAAUACUGAAAUACAAUUUGUUGUCCUUUUUCUUGUUAUUUCGUUUUUCUUUUGUUUGUUUGUGAGUUUGUUGCAGGUGAUGAACCAGCUUGGCGCUGAGGGUGCACGUGGAUUUGGCGCGGAGGCGCUGCACGCGCGGGGAGGAGGCCUGGCUCGACUGCAGCGGCUGAGGCUUGAGGCGUAGCGCUUGGGAACCUGGAACGCCAAAUUGUUCUAGAAAUCCCUAGG
rnacentral:lncRNA from 1 species